CUUUGAGUCCUGUUUAAACACACAGCUGUCAAUGCACCAGCUGGUUCACACUCACCACCGCGCACCGACAGAGACCCACACUCAGGUGGGAAAAACAGUGAACAGUGAACCAACAAAAUAACAAAUCCCUUCAUAUCUUGAAGAAUGGAGGAAUUAAAAAAUACAUGAAACUACCAUGGAGGAUUAUUUUCCUGCUGUAGCAGACUGUCUGAAAUGAAGAUCCUACAUCUGUAUCUCACCUCGUCGAUGGCGGACUCCUCAAUAAG